rnacentral:lncRNA from 1 species
GCAAGAAGCUUCGCACCCCUGAAGUCGCACUUGAUGUAGCUAUAUAGGUUGGGCAGCAAGUACACGUUGUGGGGUGCAUCAAACUUGAACACUACCCAAGAAAAAAAAAAUAGUUAAGCAUAGGCAAUUUUGUUUGAUUGUUCAUAAUGAUAUUGGCAUCGAUUCUUGAAGAAAGCAACCUUAAAAGGGUGCUUGAUUUGGUCCGCAAUCCGCAUCACUAGACGUAUUCGAGCUUUCAACAAUCAAUUCCACACUAAAAAAACAAAUGUAACUUUCCCUCCUAAAUCCUAUGCCUAUUAUAUUAUCUCUCACUCAAAGUAACCUUGGUAGUCACCCUCCCAGUCACGUUGUGGAUAUGUGAAGGAGGUGGUGACAUGUAUAUUCAUCAUAUUUUAUGCAAAAUAAAAAUUCAAAUAGGAUAAAAGAAGAAAAUUAAUAUGGCUCUCUAAAUAGAUAAUUGGUAUAUACUAGAACCAUUAGUGACUACUUGUCAAGGCUUUAUUUGAAUAAGGAUAGCAAGAGUGCCAUAACUUUCAUAUGAUGCUCAUUUGAAUGUCAUAACUUUUUUUUUCGCUCACUUAAGUGUUACUUCUAAGUUAAAUUCGAUCAUUUGAGUGACACCCCCGGCAAAUUGUCAAAUGUGGAUUUUUUGUAAUUUAAAAAAAAAAUGAUUUUCUUGUUAUUUUUGUAAUUUUAAAAAAAAUUGAUUUUCUUUUUUUAUUUUAAUUUUUAGUUUUUAUAUUUUGUCUUUUCUUUUUUUCUUUUUCUUUUUUAUGUGCAACAGCCGUAAAGGCCUCACCCUCAAACCAGUAGGGCCACGAAGGCCUUCAGCUAGGCCAUUGCUAGCUACUAGCAAGGGGAUGAAGCCGUGAUAGACUAGCCUAGGUCCAUCGCGCCCUCACAAGUUGCCAGCCAGGACAUGGUGGCUUCGCCAACCACAAGUGAGGGCACAAAGGGCCUCACUAGAUCUAGGCAAGCCGGCGAGGCCAUGAGCGCCCAUCACAACCUCAACAACCACAAGCGGGGCUAUGAAGCAGAUUUUCCAAUGAGCAACUUGUCGAUGGCACUUAAGUGAUUGAUUUUUCAAAUUUAUGACACUUAAGUGAGCAAAAAAAUUUCAAAAAUUAUCCAUUUUGAUACUAGCAAUACCACGUAGGACUAUCGGGUCUACACUGGAUUUUCCAAUGAUGGUACUUAUGUGAUUGGUUUUUCAAAUUUACAACACUUCGAGAAAAAAAAAUGGUUUUGGCACUCAAGUGAGUUCCGCACAAAAAUUAUAAUACUCAAGUGAGCGUCGUAUAAAAGUUAUAGCACUCUUGAUAUACUCGUCCCUGUCUUUUCCUGAAUGAUGACUAAUUUUUAGGUAAAACUUUCUCAAUUAUGCAAACUUCAGCAGCAUCGGAGGAAGUAAACUCCAUAGCCUAUAACUAAAAGUUCGUUGGUUGCACUCACCAAGUUUAUCGUUGAUGUAGAAGGGACUGUUCUUAAGAGUCCAGUCCGUGUAGUUGUAGCCGAAACGCCAGUUCUCAGAUCCACCAACAACAAUAGUUCUGGCCUCGGUCAUCGCCAUGGUCGUGGCUAUCACCAGCAACGCAAUUCCUGCAUACCUCAAUCCUGCCAUUUCGCUAAUAUAUUCUCAAAUUAUCUGUCUGGUGAACUGAAAAGCAAUGAAGUUAAAUUGUUUUGGCAGUUGAAGUGAGUUCCAUGGUUCAUCAUGGGGGUUUAUAUACCCAAUUUCUGGCAAGAACAGUCGGAGCUGAAUUUUCUCGACUUGGUUGGCCAUCAAAGAAAUGAUUGGAUUCAAGAAUGUAGAGAAGACAUUUUUUUUUCCAAGAUUUUGAAUCAGUAAAUUCAGAAAAUAUAUAUAUAUAUAUAUAUAUAUAUAUAUAUAUAUCCUUCUAGAUUACGACUUUUGGGUCCUGAAUUCUGUUCUCAUUGGCCACUUACGUCUGAUCCAUCCCACCCUCAUUCUGCUGUCAUUUCGUUGAAGAAUGAACUGGCGCUAAGGAAAAUGGGCAGCAAUUGAAUUUGGUGGUCUGACUGAAUCCAUUGGUCUUCUUCGUUUUGGCACUGAUCCGCUUGAAGGAAAAGAGGGAAAGGUAAUGAUUGUGAAGCCACUGAAGUCCAUCUCCACGAGGGAAAUUUGGGUAGGCGUAGACGUUUUCUUGUGUCCCUCUACAGAUGGAGCAUCAUAUGGUCAACCCGCCGCACUCUGCUUUUCUCCUAGUCGGAAAAAUUUAAGUCUUCCUUGGCUAGCUUGAAUCCUCUAAAGAGGAGUGACAUUUCCCAUGGUUGGAUUUUUAUUACAUUCGGAGAAUUAUUUCAACGAGCUGCUGACGAUCAGAUGAUGCCACUUGUUAAGGUGACUCGGGAAUUUCUAAUUUCUGCACUGAGUGAAGAGCUUUUCUAUACAGACUUUGUUGAUCGUAAUUCCCCAGUCCGCAUAGCCUAGGCUGGGUUUUCGGGCCUGAUUCUAUUUCAUAAUUCGGGCGGGACCGGGCUUAUUCAGGUUUUAUUGCCUGUAAUUCAAAAUGGCCCGACCUAGUCUGAACUGAAGUUUGCUUACAUAUUGAAAUAUUUCGGGCAUUUUGUGUUGAAUAAAAGUCGAAUUUGUGUGAGUAAACAAUAAAAGGUAAAGUCUUCCCAGACAAAAAAUAAUAAUUUUGAUGGUACUCGUUCUCAAUCCACCACCACAAAUGAGGAUGACAAUUCUUCCUUUGUAUAAAUCAACAGGAUGAACAUCUUAAAUCUUUUUUGAAAAAAAUAAACUGAAUUUCAAUAGCACGUCCUUAAGUUCGCGAGCGGUAAGCACGUGCCUAUUAGCUCCAUAGAAGUUGUUCGACUACAUAUUUGUCUUUAAACUGUCUAUGAGUUUGUGUCGUCCGGAAUCAUCCAAUGCCUAGUAAUGAAGUCCAGAAAAUGGUAUAAACUGAACAUCGGUUUCUCAUAUUUUCUGUUGUACAUUUGGAGAUGAAAGAUGAAUUUUGGCAGCUUUAACCUCAUCUUUCGGGGCCUAUGCUCGAUUUAGAUUAACGGGUUGCCUUUCUCUUGUACUUUCGGAGAAACAUAUAGGAGCGUCGUGAAGCUUUUAUCAUGCAACAUUAUCAUACUAAAGAGUACUAGAUACCGGGGAUGAACAUUGGGCUCUGGACAAGAGUUGCAGCAAUGGCAUGAAGAAUUACGUCCCUGAUAAUUGUGGACGAAGAUGGUUGAUUCAUGAGUUCAUACCUCAGAAAUACCGCAAGUAACGUGAGCAAUGCGGCAGCAUUGCAAUAGUAAACGGGUUACUUGGCGGCUUUCGUCUCGUCUAACAAGAACUUACCUGAAUCAUCUUCCACCUCUUAGUUAAGGUUAGACUAUGGUAGUGAUUCUUGUGCUUAACUUUCCAUGCACAAGUUCUUCACCUCCGGCUUCAAUAGUAAUCACUGGAGGUAUGAUUUCUUAUUGAACUACGAAGAUUUACUAUCUUAAAUGUUAAAUCUGUAUUCGUUUAACCUGUUUAGGUUGUCUUUGUACAAUAAUAGUAUAGAGGAAACAGAAUCUAGGUGCACACUGCCAACUAAUAACUCUAUAGUUAUUGGAGAAGAAAUUUUCGACAUGUGAUCAUCAUUGACGAAAAUACGAGAUCCAUCGAUUGACCGCUAAAUAUUUUGCUAGAAAGAUUUGUUCUUGUGGAAUGAGCAUGUACUUAACCUGUUAGUGCUCUAUUGAUCCUCCUUGUUUUUUGAAUUUUGCUUUGUUUUGUAGUAUUCUAGAUUUUGCUCUAUUUUGAUUUGUUUACUAUGAAGUCUAUGUACUUAUCAUGUAUCAUUUUGAGCAAUAAAUAUAAUUUUCUUUCGAAAAAAAAAAUAUUUGAUUGUGUCAAAAGUCAAAGGUCCGUAUCUUCAAAUCAUGUCCAUAUUUAUUGCAAGUAUCACGAAUUCAAAUAUUAUAAGAAAACAUUAUAUCACCCAGAUUAUAAUAUGACAUAUAGUUACGCUCGUUGGAAGAUAGAGCUCUAAAGUUACAUUGACUGCUACUAACCCCUAAAAUCAUAUCCAAUGUAUCUACUUAGGUCAUGAAGACAUUAUUACAUAAAAUAAAAUAAAGAAAAUGAAGAGAACUCUCUUCAAUCCACAAACACAACUUGCUUCCAAUAACAAAGGAACUUCAUUUCGGAGGAACCUUUUUAUUUACUCCAACUCCUAGGUUCCUCCAGAUAAGUAGCUCUUUAUUCAAAGCCCAUAAAAGCACAAAGCACGAUCAGUUUCAUCACCCAGUUCUAAUUCCAUGAUCAAUCGCGGUCGAUCACUGCCAACGCGGCAGCGGCAUGGCGAAAAACUUCAUCAAGCCGUUGGAGCAGUCUUUGUCGUUUGAAGAAGCAAAGUAGUAGAGCCUGUAUUGGUUCAGCACGACUUCGAAGCCGUUUCCAGCACCGUUUGACGGGCCAGCGAGCAACGUUGCACCCUUGAAGUCACACUUGAGGUAACUGAAGAGGUUGGGCAGCAAGUACACGUUGUGGGGCGGACCAUACUUGAACACUAACAAAGAAUUAUUCGGGACUUUAGUGCUGUGAACUUAACUCAAUCAAAUCAUAACAAUCAUAUCCAAUAUAACUCCAUCAAGUUCAAACAAAUGAACCGAUCAUAUAUCUUGUGACAACAAAAAUAACAAGCAUCUCCCACGAGCCAAUUAUGGGAUCUAGCUAGUGCCAGUGCGGUUGCUUGUUUGAAACAUGACAGGCUUGCUCUAAUGAUAUAUGUCUACAAGAUGAG